CCCUGGUUAGCUAAUUGGUAAAGCGAGCGGUUUAUAGCCGAACGAAUGUGGGUUCGAAUCCCUCACCAGGGAC
rnacentral:tRNA from 1 species